rnacentral:rRNA from 1 species
GGGGGACAACAUUCCGAAAGGAAUGCUAAUACCGCAUACGCCCUACGGGGGAAAGCAGGGGAUCUUCGGACCUUGCGCUAAUAGAUGAGCCUAAGUCAGAUUAGCUAGUUGGUGGGGUAAAGGCCUACCAAGGCGACGAUCUGUAGCGGGUCUGAGAGGAUGAUCCGCCACACUGGGACUGAGACACGGCCCAGACUCCUACGGGAGGCAGCAGUGGGGAAUAUUGGACAAUGGGCGAAAGCCUGAUCCAGCCAUGCCGCGUGUGUGAAGAAGGCCUUUUGGUUGUAAAGCACUUUAAGCGAGGAGGAGGCUACCGAGAUUAAUACUCUAGGAUAGUGGACGUUACUCGCAGAAUAAGCACCGGCUAACUCUGUGCCAGCAGCCGCGGUAAUACAGAGGGUGCGAGCGUUAAUCGGAUUUACUGGGCGUAAAGCGUGCGUAGGCGGCUUUUUAAGUCGGAUGUGAAAUCCCUGAGCUUAACUUAGGAAUUGCAUUCGAUACUGGGAAGCUAGAGUAUGGGAGAGGAUGGUAGAAUUCCAGGUGUAGCGGUGAAAUGCGUAGAGAUCUGGAGGAAUACCGAUGGCGAAGGCAGCCAUCUGGCCUAAUACUGACGCUGAGGUACGAAAGCAUGGGGAGCAAACAGGAUUAGAUACCCUGGUAGUCCAUGCCGUAAACGAUGUCUACUAGCCGUUGGGGCCUUUGAGGCUUUAGUGGCGCAGCUAACGCGAUAAGUAGACCGCC